rnacentral:rRNA from 1 species
UACGAAGGGGGCUAGCGUUGUUCGGAAUUACUGGGCGUAAAGCGCGCGUAGGCGGUGAUCUUUGUCAGAGGUGAAAUCCCGAGGCUCAACUUCGGAAUUGCCUUUGAAACGGGAUCGCUUGAGUCCGAGAGAGGAUGGCGGAAUUCCUAGUGUAGAGGUGAAAUUCGUAGAUAUUAGGAAGAACACCGGUGGCGAAGGCGGCCAUCUGGCUCGGUACUGACGCUCAGGCGCGAAAGCGUGGG